rnacentral:rRNA from 1 species
GCCUACGACCAUAUCACCCUGAAUGCGCCCGAUCUCGUCUGAUCUCGGAAGCUAAGCAUGGUCGAGCCUGGUUAGUAUUUGGAUGGGAGACUGCCUGGGAAUACCAGGUGUUGUAGGCU